CAACCCUUAAGCCCUGUUGCUUAGUGUUGGGAGUCUACGGCUUCGGCGUAGUUCCUAAAAAUCAGUGGCGGAGUUAGGGUACACUCUCAGCGUAGUAAUAUCUCUCGCUCGUGUGGUGGCCCUGGCUGCUGGCCGUAAAACCCCCUAUUUUCUAGU
rnacentral:misc_RNA from 1 species